GAAGUUUCAAGAAGCACGGGAAGCUUCUAAAAAUUUCAUUGAUUGGUUCAUAGCCGUAUAUCAUCUUGUCCCGCCCUCUUUCCCUCCUGCUCCUCUUUAAUCGGAACAAUUACUUCGCUUUGAUCGUAACAAUGGCUGCUAGAAGAGUUUCCAAGCUCACCUCAUCGGCUUUAGCAACGGCUAAAGCGUACAAGAUUUCUUAUUCUCCCUCGGUUUCCUCUCGUUGGCCUGCGUCUUGGCGUUGUUCAUCUUCUCUCGUUGGUAACUCCUUUGCUCCCUUUUCUGUGCACAACUUUUUCUGCUCCAGACAAGUUAAUGGUGGUGCCAUGGCGUCGGCCAAGUAUUUGGCUACGAUUUUCACUCGAAAUUUCCACUCUACGCCUCCUUCUAAUUACUCUGCUACAGCUUCCUCUCAGAUAAAUCAGACAGAUUUCACUGAGAUGGCAUGGGAAGGCAUAGUCGGUGCAGUUGAUACUGCACGGAUGAAUAAGCAACAAGUUGUGGAGAGUGAGCAUUUAAUGAAAGCUCUUCUUGAACAGAAGGAUGGUUUAGCAAGAAGAAUAUUUUCAAAGGCCGGACUCGACAAUUCGUCGGUUUUGCAGGCUACAGUUGAUUUUAUAUCUCAACAACCAAAGGUAACGGGCGAGACUAGUGGUCCAAUAAUAGGCACACAUCUAGGUUUGAUUCUCGACAAUGCUCAAAAAUAUAAAAAAGAAAUGGGAGACGAUUUUCUAUCUGUGGAACAUUUUGUGUUAGCCUUCCAUUCGGAUAAGAGAUUUGGGCAGCAACUGUUUAAGAAUUUGCAACUAAGUGAAAAAGAUUUGAAGGAUGCUGUUCAGGCUGUUCGUGGAAAUCAGAGGGUGACUGAUCAAAAUCCUGAAGGAAAAUUUGAGGCUCUUGACAAGUACGGGACUGACUUAACUGAAUUUGCUAGACGUGGUAAGCUCGAUCCCGUUAUAGGUAGAGAUGAUGAGAUACGACGAUGCAUUCAAAUUCUAUCAAGGAGAACAAAAAACAAUCCCGUGAUCAUUGGUGAGCCCGGUGUUGGAAAAACUGCAAUCGCUGAAGGAUUAGCUCAACGAAUUGUUCGUGGCGAUGUUCCAGAACCAUUGUUGAAUAGAAAGUUGAUAUCUCUGGACAUGGGUUCACUGGUUGCUGGUGCGAAAUACCGUGGGGAUUUCGAGGAAAGAUUGAAGGCUGUGCUAAAGGAAGUCACAGCUUCAAAUGGGCAAAUUAUCUUGUUCAUAGAUGAGAUUCAUACAGUUGUUGGUGCAGGAGCUACUGGUGGUGCAAUGGAUGCUGGCAACCUCUUGAAACCGAUGCUUGGUCGCGGCGAACUACGAUGCAUCGGUGCAACUACAUUGAAGGAGUAUAGAAAAUACAUUGAGAAAGAUGCUGCGCUUGAACGUAGAUUUCAACAAGUGUUUUGUGGCCAACCAUCCGUUGAAGAUACGAUCUCUAUUCUUCGAGGGUUACGUGAGCGAUAUGAGCUACAUCAUGGUGUAAAGAUAUCUGAUAGUGCACUUGUUUCAGCAGCGGUUCUUGCAGACAGAUACAUCACUGAACGGUUUUUGCCUGACAAAGCCAUUGAUCUUGUUGAUGAAGCUGCUGCAAAGUUGAAGAUGGAGAUUACUUCUAAGCCUACCGAGUUGGACGAGAUUGAUAGAGCGGUCUUGAAGUUGGAGAUGGAGAAGCUCUCCUUAAAAAACGACACAGAUAAAGCCAGCAAAGAAAGGUUAAGCAAAUUAGAGCAAGAUCUGAGCUCACUUAAACAAAAGCAGAAAGAAUUGACUGAACAAUGGGAUCGUGAGAAGUCUUUCAUGACUCGUAUACGAUCUAUCAAGGAAGAGAUUGAUAGAGUUAACCUUGAGAUGGAAGCAGCUGAAAGAGAAUUUGAUUUGAAUCGUGCUGCUGAGCUCAAGUAUGGAACUCUAAUAUCGCUUAACCGCCAAUUAGAAGAGGCUGAAAACAAUCUUCAAGACUUUCGAAAGUCCGGAAUUUCUUUGCUUCGUGAGGAGGUCACAGAUCUUGAUAUUGCAGAGAUUGUAAGCAAAUGGACUGGCAUACCAUUGGCCAACCUCCAACAAUCCGAAAGAGAUAAACUGGUUUCACUUGAACAAGUCCUCCAUCAAAGGAUAGUUGGUCAAGAUAUCGCAGUAAAAUCAGUUGCAGAUGCCAUUCGACGUUCAAGAGCAGGACUCUCCGAUCCCAACCGACCCAUAGCCAGCUUCAUGUUUAUGGGUCCGACUGGUGUUGGAAAAACCGAGCUUGCGAAAGCUUUGGCUGGAUAUCUUUUCAACACUGAAAAUGCUCUUGUUAGGAUUGAUAUGAGUGAAUACAUGGAGAAACAUGCAGUUUCUCGUUUGGUAGGGGCACCACCUGGCUACGUCGGGUACGAAGAAGGCGGUCAGCUGACUGAAGUUAUUCGCCGAAGACCCUACUCUGUGGUACUUUUUGAUGAGAUUGAAAAGGCACAUCACGACGUCUUCAACAUUUUGCUUCAAUUGCUGGAUGAUGGAAGAAUAACUGAUUCUCAGGGCCGAACUGUUAGUUUCACGAACUGCGUCAUGAUAAUGACGUCGAAUAUUGGUUCUCACUACAUCCUUGAAACUCUCAGUAAUACAACAGAUAGUAAAGAUGCAGUCUAUGAUUUGAUGAAAAAACAAGUUAUUGGAUUGGCAAGGCAAACUUUUCGACCUGAAUUUAUGAACCGUAUCGAUGAAUAUAUCGUCUUCCAGCCAUUGGAUGCUACCCAAAUAUGCAAGAUUGUUGAGAUACAGAUCGAACGGUUACGUGAUAGACUUAAACAUAAGAACAUUAAUCUCCAUUACACCAAAGAAGCUCUUGAGCUUUUGGGGACGUUGGGAUUUGACCCCAAUUAUGGAGCAAGGCCAGUUAAGAGAGUAAUACAACAACUAGUAGAAAACGAGAUUGCAAUGCUAGUUUUGAGAGGCGAGUUUCAAGAAGAUGACUCGAUCAUUCUCGACGUCGAUAGGUCGUCAUUUGCCAAGGACUUGCCUCCCCAAAAGAGAUUGUUCAUCAAGAAGAUAGAUAGCGAUUCUAACUCGGAGGCUAUGGUUGCCCACGACUGAUUUCAGUAGAUGAUAGUGAAGUAAGUCAGCCAUGCAAAAAAGGGAGUCACAUUGUCUUGAAUAAUAUGUCCAUGAUCGUCAUUUCUGCACCAAAACAUGAAUGGUUGCUUCUCAAGAACAUAACAACCAUGAAAUCCAUCCAUUUUGGCAAACAACUGUGAAUUGUUAUGUUCAAAGAUUGUGUAAGCAAAAUGCAGGCAAUCAACAACCAGACGUUGAUACGAGUGUCCUUUUCUAGGGACGGAUGGCCACAUUGUCCUUUGCUUUCGGAUAUUUUAUGAAGUUUGGUGAGAAACUGUCUUAUUGUGGUUGGUGCUGGCAACACACCGACGCAAAAUUUGACCAACUUUACAUACUUUUUGCUGACAUUUUGUUCGUUAAUCUCUUAAAUUUACUUCGAGCUAAACACGUUUGCAGUCAUUCAACAUAAAAUUACUCGAGUCAAACAUGUUUAAUCUUGAA